UACGGAGGGUGCAAGCAUUGAUCGGAAUUACUGGGCGUAAAGGGCGCGUAGGCGGCCAAGCAAGUCAGAUGUGAAAUUCCAGGGCUCAACCCUGGAGCUGCGUUUGAAACUACUUGGCUUGUGUGCAGUUAGGGUAAACGGAAUUCCACGUGUAGCGGUGAAAUGCGUAGAUAUGUGGAAGAACACCGGUGGUGAAGACGGUUUACUGGGCUGUAACAGACGCUGAGGCGCGAAAGCAUGGGGAGCAAACAGG
rnacentral:rRNA from 1 species